UACGUAGGGUGCGAGCGUUAAUCGGAAUUACUGGGCGUAAAGGGUGCGCAGGCGGCGUCGCAAGUCAGGCGUGAAAUCCCCGGGCUUAACCUGGGAACUGCACUUGAAACUACGAUGCUGGAGUAUGGCAGAGGGAGGUAGAAUUCCACGUGUAGCGGUGAAAUGCGUAGAGAUGUGGAGGAACACCGAUGGCGAAGGCAGCCUCCUGGGCCAAUACUGACGCUCAUGCACGAAAGCGUGGGGAGCAAACAGG
rnacentral:rRNA from 1 species